UGACAGUCAAAUUCUGCUACAUGUGACAUCCUUCCUUGUAAGUACGCGUGCGUGAAGCUCAUACAUUUGCAUCUGGAGUGGGGCGUGUGAUUUACAUCAUAGACCCAACAGAACCAUAGUCGCUCCGUGGAAGCCCAGAAAGGUAUAUUUACAGUGCUGAAUAGAGAAGACUUAUAAUGUGGCGACAGGCUGACCUCCUUUUAGUUAUUUUCUUAUUCUCCACGGUGAUGGCGCAGCUGACCAUGGCCACUACCAACGACACUAGUCCGGGUCCCACUACACCCGGAAACGGGGCAGAUUGUGUAACAGGACUGUUCGCUGUUCUACUUACCGCCCUGAUGAUGCUCUUUCGCCAUUUUAUCCAAUGAGGAAGAUUUCGUGUAUCCGUGGCAGCGCUGGGAUUAUCUAUAAUGAAUCCUUAUAAAAUGUAGCACUUAAAAUAAAUGAUGUAUAACAGUAGAAAA